GGAAGGUAGGUGUAUCUCCAUAAUCUGUUCCUGGCUGGGGGCCUCUAAAGGGCCAAGGCACCCCACAGCCCACAGAGCUGCCUCGGGAGGCCAGGGGUCUGCUUAGCCAAGUACCCACACAAGGCACGCAGGAAGUGGCCCAGGGGCAGCGUGGAGGCGGAGGGGCCAUCCAAGAGGAGCUGGGCUUCUGCAAUCUGUUUCCCACUGCUCCUGCCUAUGAAUCAUCUACAUCCACACUCCCUCACAACCUGCGUAUUACAUAAAUAAUGUACAAAGUGAGCAAAAUCAAGCUACCACCACCACAGCUGAGUUUGACCUUGAAUUAUCAUAGGAGAGUCAGGAGCCGGAGCUGCUUCACAGAGUCGUGGGAUCUCUCCAGAACGGACCAUGUACCCAAAGCUCUGGCGAGAGAAGGAGAGAGCGAGCACUUCUUCAACAAACUGCUUCUUUUGGUAUGGCAGGCUCUCGACAUGGAGCUGAAUUCCAGAUCCAACACAGGUCUCUGCAAUUUACACCUAGAAAAUUUCUUUUUUUCUUUUUUCUCUCUUUUUUUGAGACAGCGUAUCACUAUGUAGUUGAGACUGACCUGGAACUCACUAUGUAGCCCAGGCUCAUCUCAAACUCACAGAGAUCCUCCUGCCUCAGCCUCCCGAGUGCUGGGAUUACAGACGUGCACCACCAUGCCGGGCAAAAAUUUCAAAAGUAUACAUUUUUCUUUUAAGUGUUAGUAUUUACUCCAAAGGAGAAGCCUUAAAAAGAAAAGAUAAAUAG
rnacentral:lncRNA from 1 species